CAGGAGCAUCAGGAUACUCUGGCCUUAGGGGGUCAGGCUCCAGCAGAUCUCCCUCCAGACCAUCCGAGGAAUCUUGGGCAAGGAGGCUUCUUUGCCUCUCUGUGUUGGCAAGAUCAGAAAUCAGAGAAGUCACGGUGUGAGGAGGACCACGCAGCCCUGGUGAAUCAGGAAAGCGAGCAGUCGGAUGAUGAACUACUGACUCUCUCAAGCCCACAUGGCAAUGCUGAUGGUGACAAGCCUCAUGGAGCCAAGAAGCCUGGCAAAAAGCAGCAGGAGCCAGCUGCGCCUCCUCCCCCAGAGGAGGUGGACCUUCUGGGCCUGGAAGGGUCCGAUGUGAGCACGAACUUCUCCCCCUUGGCAGCUCCUCCCAGCAAUUCUGAACUGCUGAGUGACCUGUUUGGGGGUGGAGGUGCCACAGGUCCUGCCCAGGCAGGACAGGUUGGAGUCGAAGAUGUGUUUCACCCAAGUGGACCUGCGUCUGCGCAGUCCACACCACGCCGAGCCACCACUUCCGCCUC
rnacentral:lncRNA from 1 species